GGAAGAUGUACAGCGACUGUCAUUCUCUUUAAAAAAACAGUAUGUCACUAUGGAAUAUCCAUUAUGAUUGCCCCAUGCAUGUUUCCCAAUAUAAAGUCCAAAGUUAUAUGAAAAUAUUACUUUCAGAAAUCAUUCUCUAGGUCAUCAUUCAGAGGUCUCAAAGUAUCCCUUCUUGAGGCAGGUGAUGCCUCUACCCACUUACUGCUGUGAUGUAUGGCAAAGUCUCCAAAGCACAAAGUGAGGCUAAAGUAAUUCUUAACUGCAGAAGUGCUUCCUAAAGUUACAUAUCAGGAAGUGGCCAGGAUGGACAUAUGUUAACAUUGUAGCUACACAAUUGAAAGAAA